CCCAAUCCCAUUGUUCUAAGGUAAUAAAUCCUAUAAUUGCUGUAUCCUCAGAACCCAGCACGGGGCACUGCAUACGGUAGAUCUGCUUAACCAUGUACCAAAUGCAUCCGCCUCUUCCCCAACAUCCAUUACUACUGGAACCCACCAAGAACUGAAUUCCAUGGUACUUCUCAGGAUUCUUGAGGUCUGGACUAAGCCCUGGAUUGGGAAAGACGUGUUUAUGAUGCAGACCAGUUGGGGAGAUUUUUCUUGAAGGAGCAGCAGCUUGGGAAUAGCUGACCUGCACCUGUCAUUCUGGAUAAGGAUAGCAUGUUCAUAAAAGGGAAAUGAGUGGAGAAGGAGGGAAGGAGUUGUGAGCAAAGCAUUUAAAGCGUUGCCAGAAUAUAAGCAACAGUGCUUCAUGUCGUGAAAAACUGAGAAAAGGAGUCUUUAUGUACAGGAAGAACUCAGCAGCUGACCUCAAGAAGAAAGGAAAACAUCCUCUCUUCACUUUUCUCUGGGAUGCCUGUGCCCAGGGUCUUGAGUUUCCGACUGGGGCAUAAUGGAUUUUUGGUGGCCUGUGACUUUAUUAUGGGUCUUUUCCCAAAGUGUUUUGAAAUGGUAUGAAAGAGUGUAUUCAGUUAGAAACCUUGAGUUCUACUCCCAGGCUACUUAGAGGUUGUUUUGCAAACUUGAACAAGUCAAGUAAACCUGACUUCAACUCUACGCAAUGGAUUAUGCAAUGGUUGAAGUUCUAAGCUUGGAAGUUUCCAAUGAGAACAAAUAGGGGUGGUGAGAGCUGCCCUGCCCCUUUCAGGGACAUUAAGAGGGUCACCAGGCAGGUGAAUGUGACAGUGCCCUAAAGUUAUGAAGAAAUCUGUGCAAAACUGUAUGUUGUUAUAGUUCUUCUUGGGGCUGAUGCACCGUGACCCCUUCAACAGUUGAUGAAUCAUGGGAUAAUUGUUGAUGAGUCAUGGGAUAGGUGCUGCUUCAAGGGAUGUGGAUGUAGGUUGGACAGAGGCCGACCCCAACUCUCUACUCAUUUGCACUGUGCAUGGCAAAUUUGUUCUGGGAGUUUCUGCUUUGCUCCUGUCUUAAGCCAUCAGACCACGUGUUCAGUAGUCCAGCCCUGGCCACAGCCUCUCUGCCUGGCUGGGCCCAGGCUACUUCUAAACUCUCUGUUUUUUUUAUUUUAUUUUAUUUUUAUUUUUUUUUAUUUCAGAUUUUAUCCAACAUGGAUGUCUUGAUCCAAGAGAAAAAAAGGGAUCCCUUCAAAGUCCUUUCCCCAGUUUCCUGCUUAGUCCCACUCCUAGAGCCCUAGGGGGUUCUGUAGCUCCUCUAUAUUUUCAGGGAACUGAGCUGAAGCCAAUACGAGAUUUUAAAAGAUACCCUAUCCUUAAGCAAAGUGAGUGAUGGUGCUCAGCAUCCAUGCCAACGGUCAAAUUUUGGCUGUUUUAUUCACAUAUCUAUGUAAUUUGUAGUUUUUUGGGGGGUGGGGUGGAGGUGGCUGGACCAACAACAAACAGCUAAUCUAAAUGAGACAUUCCUGGAAAAUGAGGCACAUAAAGCUUUCUCUUUUCAUAUCCAAAAUGGAAUAAACAAUUCCACCAGCGACCACAGGAAUGCUGCUGGGGCACGAGGGCUUCAGCCUUCCUGAUGGUCAGGCACUGACUUUAAGCUUAGACUCUAGAAUUUGUUAAUGAGAGGCCCUCCUGGACAGGAAGGAAGGAGGCUUGCUUGGGGUCUGAUCUGUAAAGCACACUGGUGGAAGCUGUUUACAUGCAGCUACACAAGAGGCUUCUUCCUGAGUACCAGGCCACCCUCAGUAAGGCACUGAGUGAGCACCAGGCAUCACCAGGAAUGAGGUCUCUGCCCCAGUCCUGGCCAAAUGGAAUAAGCAAACAGACUGAGGGUGUGUCAGUGGCUUUCCUGAGUUCCCGCACCUGGUAAAUGAUGGAGUUUAGACUUGAAAAUUCUGCCUCCUGUCUCCAGGUCCAGGGAUCUCUCUGGGACGUCAGAGAAGUCAGUUAAUCUCUGCCACUCCUUCCUACCUGGAUGUUCAAUGAAAAGCCUGUUGGGCUUUCUGAGGACUAGAAGGGGGACACUGCCGAGAAUUCAGUGAGGCCAGCCCACACCCCCACCCCUUCUAGGAGAUUACCUUUAGAUCCUCCAGCCCCAGUCUGCAGCCUCCUGGGCUGAUGCUUUCUUUCUCUAUUUACAGACACUAAUCAUUUCCCAUGCAAUUGAACAACUUAAUAAGCUGCGAAAAUUUGAUAAGACAAUUUAAUUGUCGGCUUUUACAUAUCUGCUCAAUAUAGUUGGGUUUCUAGGGAAGGUGAGUGGGGAAUGUGAGCAGAGGCACUUAAUUAAAGAACUAAAACAGUGGGGCUAGAUUAGAGAGAACUCUGGCAGACACCAACCCUGGACCUACGUCUCUUCUCUCCCCCUUUCACAUGGGCCCUUUCUUUGAAAUUUUAUAAGCUCCAUCCUCUGGGUAGUAGCAAAAUAGAGAUGCAGGCCCAGGCACUUGAUGUGCAGUGUGGGGAGCUGACUUUGCAUGGGGCGGCUCCCAACUGUUAUCGGGGAGCUUUUUCUCGGGCCCAAAGUGGUUGGGUUUUAAGGGGAAGACCUAAUUCUGCGUGUAUGGUCGUAGCUCAAAGGGAUAGUUCAAAAUGGCCUCCUCAUUGAUGGGGAAGGAUGGGGGCUGAUUAUAAAAAAUUAUAAUCAUUUUUUUGGUCUUUUCCUCUAUCUUUUUGGGGAAUUUUAUGGCCAUUUGGGCAAUGCUGCAUCAUGGAGUAUUGAUGCCAAUUUUAAAUCACACAUCCUCAUUUUAUCUAAUUGAAUUCUCAUGCUAACUCUGAAAGGAAUAGGAAUCAUUAUUCCUAUUUCACAGGUGCAGAUCCUGAGACUCAGAGAGGUUAAGAAACUCGCCCAACGCCACACAGCUAGAUAAACACCUCAGGAUUUAAAUAGAUUGCAGGGGACACCAACAAGGCUCUGCUCAGAUCCCCUCAGAUCCCUCUGGCCCAUCUGUGCAUGCAGUAACAUCUGCUUCACCGUUGACUGCUUGAACCUGUGGAUCCACUUCACCUAAGAGCACAGAGAGCUGAAAGGGCCUGGAAUCCUGUUGCCUCCCGGGCAGCCUGCAGCCAAUGAGUAACUGGUGCUGGAAAACAGAAGGCUGCUCCCUUGCUGGAGAACUGAUGCCCCAGUGAUUCUGCUGCCUCUGCCAGAGUCAGAAAACUGUGGAUGUGGGAAGCUGCCCGUGGAGUCAGGAAGUCAUCCCUACUGAUGGAGCCUCUGCAGCCACCUUGGUCCUGGUCCACACCAGCAAUGUUGAUGCUGCCCUGCAGCCUGCCUAUCCCCUGGCUUAAUUCCGGCUCCAUGCAUGUGACGAGCAGAAAAAAGAAAGUCGCAUCUGGACCUCCGGCGGCAAGGGAGUCUGAGAAAGAUAGAUCUGUGCAUGGUCAUCUUAACCCUCCUGUAUCCUUAAAGCCCAGCACCAGGUCAAGUAUGCAGUGGGCACUCAGUAGUUGCAUGUUAAGUGAAUCGAUGAUUCUAGAAAAGAAAAUUUUGUUUACUGGCUCUUCACCUUUAGCAGGAAGUAAAUUCUCAACGGGGCUUUGGCUCGGAAAGAAUAUGGACCUGAAUGCUUUUCUCUUCCCCUCUCCUGUCCCUCCCUCCUCACUUCUCCUUUCUCCUCUUCUCCUCUCCUCUUCUCUCCCUUCCUCUGUCCCUUUUUGUCCCUUUCCUCCUCCCUCCCUCCUUUCCCUCUCCCUCUGUGUCAGCUUCCACCACCAGGAAACCAGCUUCUCCUGAGAACACACAGGGGGACCCUUCAAACUCAGUGUACAACACAGCCUCUUGAAUUCUGUGCAUUGCCUCUUUUAAUUAAACCCCUCCUUUCAGGAAGUCUCUCAAGGCUAUAAGCUUAUCAGAUCCUGAUGAGCACGUCAUCAAAGCUCCAAUCUGGUAUUAAUGGGAAAUGGCCUUUCCCUUCAGGGAGGGCCAAGCUUCUGUCCUUGGGAACCACUGCAUUCUCCUUGCUGGGAGGACACGUGGAUUUCCCCUCAGUGCUCUCUAGGGUGCUGCAAGCUGGCAAAGUUCACCUGCCCUUUUCAAAAUAUGAAAUACAUGCCUAAUUUCCAACAUCAUUGUGUUCCAUUUUCCCUGAUAACACCUUAACAGGGGCUUUAAUAACUGCAUUCUGUGGAAAGAGACACUGGCGCUGUGCUGUUGGCUCUAGGUUGUGAGCUGGGGCCCUGGCUGUGAGCCCUUGGAGGAAUCCCUUUACCUCUCUAUUCCAGGUUAUUCAUGUUUAAAAUGAAGUUCCUUAACUGCUCUCAGUUCUUCCCAGAAUUCAUGUAAUGAGUUCUAAGUGUCAGUUCUGCUAGGUCUAGGGAGAGGGAUGAAGCCUCUACAUGAGCCAGCCUGUGUUGGUUGGGGCAGAGCCUAGAGAUCCCUGGUUCAGUGAGGCUCCUGCACUAGGGAAGGGACCUCUGAGCUCCUCUUCUCGUGCCAAGCCCAUCUCCGCUCAUCCCAUGCUGACUGCAAGAAUGGUGUUUGCUCAAUGGUCAGGGAAGUGGUGCCCAAGAGCAGGAACCUGGCUUCACUCUGUCUCUCCUCUGGGCAUCAAAGAGGCAGUACCUGCUAGGACCGUCUCUUCCUUUCUAAAAUCAGGAAGUAACAAAAGGCAGGCUGGGAUUGCCCAUAGAUACAGCUCCGUCUUUCUCUCUCUCUCCUGAAACAGCCUGCAGACAUUCCUGAGUUCUUGUGCUGAGAUUAGGUUCAUUGUCAAACCCAAACCCAUUUGUUUUAAAGCCAGUUGUGCAAAAAUAUAUUAAAAAGCAAACAUGCGCAAACCAGAAGCCAGGGUCGGGGUUAUUGAGUGUAGCUUCGAUAUUAAUAACAUGAAAUAGAGUUCCCAGUCUCCCAAUUUCCCAUCUGAAUGGAGCUCUUUCAAAGCCCAGGAAGGCAGAUGGGAUGCACAGGGCAGGAUGGGCCCCUUCCAGGGUUUCUCAGUCCAAUGCCAUCACAGAGGAACUUGAAUGUUAUUUCUGGCAGUGUGGACUGGCUUCACACAGAGAUGAGGUGGCAGACGAUGAGGGACUUCCUGGCCAUAUUAAUGUGUAGAAUGCCUCUAAGCCACACAGGUACAAAGUGAGGGUGGAAACAUUAUUUCUAGCCCUUGGAACUGAUAGAAAAAUACUCCUGACAAAGAAUACAGGGAAUACUGCUGGUGGGACUCAGUAUAAGGUCACUUUGCUGGAAAGUAACAGAGAAUAAAUAAAAUUGAUUGAGUGCCUAUUAUGUGCUUGAAAUCACUUUACAUGCUGGGGCCACAGCAGUUGUCAAAAUUGUUGGAAAUCUCUGCCCUCAUGGAGCUCAGAGUCUAGGGGAUUUUUAAAAAUCACAGGCUGGGCAGAUACUGAAGCUGGCUUUGGGGCCAUUCGGAACUAAAGACUUGAAUUCUAACAAGAUUUCUGUGAUUCAGUUUCUUGCUGUGUCUUGGAGUCAUUUCCUCCAAGCACCUUCUGUCUCUACCUCUGUCAAGAAGAGGACAAAAUAGCCACCAUCCACAUUCUUGUCCCCAGACUGAUGAAGAAGAUGAUAAAAGGGAGGCUUUAGUUGGUAAGCAGAAAGGCACCAUGUAAGUGACAGGCUUACAUCUUGUAUGAAAUCAAGUGGGCAAGAAAGCUUCUGCUCAGGUGGGUACAGCCCCAAGGAGGCUGAUAGGUGAGCACUCUUAGGAACAUGGGCUUGCAGACUUCCCAGUGAAUGCUUCCUUGGGCUGUCAUUUGAACCUAAGAAGAAAGCACAGUUCAAGAAAGAUGAACACAUGUAGCCAACCUGAACUGAAACCAAGAAGGAAAGGAUCAGUCAAAUAGCUGUCUCCUCUGGGCUUGGCUGCCUGUCCUUGGAGAUAAUACUGGCACGUAGCAAGAACUUCCACCUGCAGCAUCCACAGCACAUCUCCAUGGGCCUUAGCAAGAUGCUAUGCAACACGGCUCUUUUCCAGUAUCCUAAUUUUCUGUUCAUAACAUGUUGGGUCUUUGGGAAUCACCAUUAUAAUCAUCAUAAUGUGUUGGGUCUUUGGGAAUUACUGUCAUGAUCAUCAUCAUCACCACCACCACCACCACCAACAUCAGUUUUCCUGGUCUCAUCUUCAUGAUCCUGUUUCAUUUCUUACUACUUCAAACAUUCUUUUUUCCUUCCCUAUGCCUGGAACAUCCUCUGCUCAUUUCUAAUCCCAGAUCUUUGCUUCAGCUGUGGCUCCCUGCACUCCCUGCCUGGGGAAUGCCCCAUGUACCCCCUUUUUCUUGCUAAAAUAUUACACACCUUCAAGACCAUCUCAAGCCCCCCCUUUCAGGAAGCUCUCCUCUAUCUACUCAUGCCCUCCGGUACCUGAGUAUUUGCACAAUAUUAGAACUUAAACAUUCAUCAUUUUAGUCUACAUUCCAGCAACUCUGUAAGGUUGGAAUCAUUUCCUCCAUUUUAUCGAUGAGAUAACAGGUUCAGAGAGGCCGGGUAUUGCCCCAGGAGGAAGGAGCUGGAGCCCCCACAGCUGUGUCUAUUCUACUCUGCCUUGGUGUGCUUGCUUUCCCAGGAGCACACCAGAUGUUGAGAGCAGUAGUUCUCAAACUUCAGGGUGCAUGUACAUUACCAGGGACUGUUUGGCAGACGUUCUGGGGUGGGGAACAAACAUCUGUGUGUGGUUCACCAACGGUCCCUGGUGACUAUGGUUUUAUGGCUGGUCCUGUAGCCAUUUGAGAACCGUUGCCUUCAGAGGUGCACGUAGUCCCAUAACUGAAGAUGUGGCUCCCUGAGGCUCCUGGGAAGCCAACCGCCUCCCCAGACCUACAGAAUGGGAAUGGAAAUCUCCGGGUGUGGGGGUGGGGGCUGGAGGGGGUGGGCCUGGGAAUCUCUAGCUAAGAGCCUCAGGGGUUUUUUAUCAUCUGGCAAGUUUGGGAAAGCUGACUGAGAGUCAGGCCCAUCCAAUUAGCACUUAAUUGUAUCCUGCUUUAUCUUCUUCCCCAAUUAGUUCUUCUGCAUCAGUUAAGCUCCUUGGAGGCCCAGACAACAGCACUUAAUUCAGCAUUGCCCUGAGAGCUGGCAUGGUGCUGGCUAGGUGACUGGCAUUAUGGAAAACUGACUGCAUCUGCUUUAGGAAGAGAGGCAUGUCCAGAGUGGAAAUUCUGGAAGCUCCUUGCAAAACUAAUACCUGGGCUUCUGCACCUCCCCAGCUUGAUGUCUGCUCUUAUCCCUCAUCUCUGCAAAGCCAGGUGCUUCCUCUUGCUUAAAGACCAGCUCAAGGCUCUCUUAUUCCAAGAACUGACUCCAUUACCUCCAGCUAGAUAUAAGCCCAUGGGUCUGUGGAUCCUUCUGAUGUGAAUUUACCUGGAUUUCUGUUUUUCACGGACAGAGGGCUUCAGGAAAGCUCCUGGCCUGACAUGAUGCUAGGCACAUAGUAUUGCUCUUUCCUUCCUACAUCCUCUUCUAGGGAGGGCAUCUUAUCCACCUUGAACAUUCCUACCAUGGAAAACAGUGGCUUGCACAUAGCACAAGGUCAGUUAAUAUUUUGGAUUCCUACAUAAGUCUCAGAGAUGUUAAUAGGAAUUACCAUCUUGUUGCAAUGAAUGUGAGCAAGUAUGUGUUGUGCACAUAAAUUAUCCCACUCCCGCCAAAGGACUAUGUUACUCUUUUUCAAUUACCCAAGCAACUACUCCAGUGCCUUAUGCAUGAUUACCUUCUCUAAGUAUUUUCUUUCUAAAUUAAUACAAUUAUUAACUUCUCAGGGUGUGAACUGUAAAGGGGAAAAUGUGUGCUUCUCUGUUUAAAACAUUAGUAUCUUUAUUUUAAAUCUACUCCAGACUUGCCCAGACUCCUUCACUACUCAGAGUCUCUGAGCAUCGGCUUCCUUAACAUUCAAAAUGGAAAUGAUAAUAAAAACUUUGCACAUCUCUAAAAAUCUCUGAAAAAAAAAAUUUGUCACAUUGAACACAUAAAGCAAGCACUGGAUAAAUUGUAGCUGCAUGGUAUAGUACAGACAACUUGAGACAUAGAUGGAAGGCAGAGCCUAUAUUUUAUUCCUGCCAAACAAAAAUUAAAACAAAGGCAUUAUAAGAACCCAGUGUUGGUGACAUUUGUGAUGGAACAGGCACACUUAUUUUGGAGGCCUGUUUAGCAAUGCUUACCAGGAGUCAUAAAUAUUUUCAUAUACUUUUACCACCGCACAGCAGUUCUAAGAAUUACUACAGGAGAAUGAUUUUUAGAGAGGAACAAGUUAAAUAUAGGCAUCAGUGUAAUUUACAAAGGUGAAAACAAAAAGUAACCUAAAUGCACAUGAAUGGGAGCAAGGUUACAUAAAUUACAGUGCAACAAUGUAAUGGAAUAUCUCACAGCAAUUAAGAAGGCUAAAGACAAAUCCCAGGUAGAAACAUUUAGUGAUUGAAAAUAAUAAGUGUAAUGGUAAAACACAAUUUUAUGUAUACUUUGAUUAAAAUGAUUCAAAAUGAUAUAUUUACUUACAGCCGUGAAGAAAAGAAUAAAGACAUGAACAUGUUUGCUGUGUUAUAUUAGUGAAAUUAAAUUUAUUUUAUACAUGCUAUAUAUGUAUGUAUACAUGCAUGUGCGUAUGUAUGUAUACAUUUAUGUAAAUAUAUAGAUGCAUGAAUACACAUAUGUAUAUGUAAAUAUGUAUAUGUACAUAAAUGUGUAUGUACACUUAUAUAGGUGUAUAUGCAUGUACAUAUGUAUGUGUAUAUGUAUAUGUGUAUAUCUACAUAUGUAUAUGUGUAUAUAUACCUUUAUGUACAUAUAUAAAAAUAUUUUAAUUUUUAUUUUAAAUACUUUAUAUAAAAUUUACACACACAUCUAUAUCUAUAAAAGUAGAUAUAUGUAUAUAUCUGUAUACAGAUAUAUAUGUAUACAUAUAUACAUAUAUACACAUAUAUACAUAUAUACAUAUCUGUAUACAGAUAUAUAUACAUAUAUAUCUGUAUAUAUGUACAUAUAUACAUAUAUACAUAUAUAUGCAUACAUAUAUACAUAUAUGCACAUAUACACAUAUAUGUACAUAUAUGCAUAUAUAUACAUAUAUACAUAUAUACACACACAUAUAUAUAUACAUGUCUACUUUUGAAAAUCUUCCUAAUAGUUCUGCAAGGCAGGUUUUAGUACCUUGAGGAAACAGGUGACAAUAUUUUACUAAAUCACAUAUCUAACAAAAGUUAUCAUAAGCCUUCAAAUGAACCUUGGCCCACCGGCCCCCAAAUCUUUGCUUUUUAAAAUUAUUCACAAAUUGUUUUCCAAUGUGUGUACAUUUGAUGUUGGUUUCUUUUGAUAACUCAUUUCCAAUAAGACCUUAUUUUAUAUUACAACAAUGAAGAUAGAUAAAUAAAUACAUCAAAAUAUUUAUUAUGUGUACUACAUACAUUUUAUAAUUAAAAUGUGCUAGAUUGUUACCUUGUUAGCUCCAAUCAACCACCUCCCAGUAUUCACAGUUUUGUGUAGUCCCAUUUCACAUAGGCACUAGACUUGGCUAUGUGAUGUGAUGUGUUUUGGCCAAUGGGUCAUUGGCAAGCUUGAAAUAAGAACUUCAUAAGUACUUGUGAGUUAAGGUUUGUCCUGUUAGAAGCUAGUCACCAUGCUAUCAAGACACCCAAGCUAGCUGCAUGGAGAUGAUGCAGGAUUUUUCUUGAUCCCUUUGCCAGCUGGGGACCUCCAGCCAGCAAUGACCCUGCCCAGGCCUCACUUGAGCAUGCUACCUGUUGCAGGAGGUGGCCUGCCCACCCAGCCCACCUGGGCUGCACCUGAAUUGUGAACUGGCUUAGCCCGAAGCUGGGCUGGGCAUGCUCUAGCUCACCUGUGUUAUAGCUCAUACCUGUGUUCAGUGGUUCCUGAGUUCUUGUCCCGCGUCCAAGAAGAAUGAGGAUAUGCUGACAAUUGAAGGGUGAGGAGAGCAGAGAAGAAUUUUAUUGAGUGAUGGAACAGCUCUCAGCAGAGAGGGGAUGUGGGGGUAGUCCCCCACCUGAAGUUGGGUGGUUUCUCUUCCAGUGUAGCUGAAUCUGAGGCUUUUAUGGACUCAGAAUAGGGGAGUGCAUGCUGAUUGGUUUGUGAAUAUGCAAAAAUGGUUAAAACAAAGGCACCACUCAAAUGUGGGCAUGACAGUGUAAAUAAACCAAUUAGGGAAGGGUAGGUAUAUGUAAAAUAGGUGAAGGGUGAGGAUCAAUCAGAGGAAAGCAUGCCCAACAGGAAGAUAGAUUCUCAGUCUGGUCUGUGGAUUUGACUUGUAGUUAGGCUUAAACUGUCUUUGGCUUGGAGAUGGGGUUUCACCAGGGACACGCCCCUAUCUGCCUAUGCAUUUGUCUGCCUCCUGCCACUAUCAGAGAGGCCACAGAGAAGAGAAUUGAGGCUUCCCAGAAAAGAGCCCUGAUGAGGUCCCCGCUCACAAUAUGGAGAGAUCGUUUAGGAUUACCAGCCCCUUUGAAGCCUCCAGAAAAUCACAGCUCUGUUAGUAAUUUUUGUGGACUCCAUGCAAAGAAAAGAAUCAUUUAAUGAGCCCAGUCAACCCAUAGAAUCAUGAGAAAUAAUAAAUCUUUGUAGUUUCAAAGCGCUAAGUUUUGGGAUGGUUUGUUAAACAGCAAGAGAUGACCAAUAUAUCAGACCUGAAAAAUUUAAAGCACCAGGAAAAUUUUAAAGUACCAGGAAAAUUUUAAAGUACCAUCCUAGCACAUAGUAGAUGCUUAAUUAAAAUGUCUAUGAAGAAGAAGGGGUCAAUUCUGUCACUUGGCAUUCAGAUUCCCUUUUUGCUCACUAUAGCCUUCCACUUUAAGAAGAGAACCAACAUCCCUGUUGAACUGGAUUCAUCUGCAAACCAGGCCAGCAAUCCUGGCUCAGGCAGGCCUUCCAGGAGGGCAAACUGUAUAGUUCUAUAGCAAAGGGGGCAUUGUCCUUUCUGAAAUGCCAGAUCCUUUAUAAGCUGGAGAGUUACAGUCACUGUUUGGUAAUUGCCCUGCCCCCUGCUAGUGCUUCCAUUCUUGGCUCUUAUAAUAAAGUUCAGUCUCAUGCUCAUUUUUUAUCUUCCUAAAUGGGGCCUGCCAUGGAGCAGCCAUUUGUAUUACGAUCUUAGGCAACCAUGACUGUUCCCAGCCACAGCAUCCCUAAUGCCACUGCCUUAGUUCAGACCCGUAUCAUUUCUCCCCUGGAUAAUUACAACAGCCCCUAACAAGUCUCCUAGCAUUUUGGCAUACACUCCUCUAUUCCAUUCUCUGUAGCAGGCAGUAGGCCAUUUCUAAAGUACAAACUAAAUCAUUUCACCAUGCUUUUUAAAACCUUCCAAUAGGCUCCCCAUUGCCUCAAAGCAAAAUUUCUCAGACUGGAUUAAUGAGUGAGUGUUCCACAGGGUGUGGGCUAGGAAUGAGAAUAUAGUUUAACACAUUUGGGAAACCCUGGGUUAAACAUGGUUAACCAGGUAUUUUUGUGUGUUUGUUACAGGAUUUCUCAGAGCCUUUAAUAUGCUGAUGCAAAUUGUGAAUCUUAUCACAAGAGUGAUAUAAAAUCAACAUUUACCAAACUUGCUUUCUUGGCAGACUAUCUUUGGUUCCACUGAGUUGCAGUUUAGAAUUUUUCAAGUAUUUCCAAGUCCCUUAGUCUGGUAGACAAGUUUCUUCAUAAUCUGACCCCUGCUUAUUUCUUCAGCACAAGUCUCUACAUUUCUCCCAGGUCCUUGCUUCUUGACAAUUUGGUUCCUAUGUACCUGCUUUCCUUUAUCUAAAGUCAACCAUCCUGUUCUUUCAUAGCCCUGGUUAAUUCUUAUUCAUCCUUUGAAUCUCAGGUCAGUCUUCUCUCCUCUGGGAAAUCUUAUCCUAUCCCCACCAUACCUCAUCCCACCCCACCCUCCCUUGGGCUGAGUUAUACAUUCACCCUAUGACAUCCCAUGCUUUUUCCUAUUAUAUUAACUUUCACACAACCUUAGAGUUUCCUGCUUGUCUCUCCUUGUAGAUUGCAUGUUCCUUUGGGCAGGGCUGUCAGCAGGGCACUUAGUGUGCAUUCAGUAAGUGUUUCUUGAGUAAAUGAGUACUGAGAAAUAGAAUGCAUUUUGUGAAAACAGUUGUUGACUAAGAAUUUUCUGAAUGCAGUCACACUGAUAGUAGAUACCUUUUCAGGUGCCAAUCCAUCUAUGGUGUAAACAUGUCUCUUAUACUGACCAUACUCUACAGGUGUUCUCUGUGAUACUAUCUCCUGGGACCAUUUAAAUUCACAUGAAGAAAACUGAGCCGACCUGACUCAUUCUCUGAGGAUUCGAACUUAGGAAUUGUUAGAAGUUUAUUCAAACUGCAGAAUCAUAAACUGCAGAGCUCUGGUGGCCGUUUUGUGUAUGAGUAAAUGGGAGCGAUGGAAGCAGUUCUGUAGAAAGAGAGGGAGAGAAGUGAAGGGCAUUGGGCUACAGAUGUUCCUCGAUGUCCCAAUAAACCCAUCAUAGAGUUGCAUGAUGUUGAAAAUAUUCUAAGUCACAAAUACAUUUAAUACACCUAACCUACUGAACAUCAUAACUUAGCGUGCCUUCAGUGUGCUCAGAACACUUAGAUUAGCUUACAUUUGGGCAAAAUCAUCUAUUUAACACAAAGCCUAUUUUAUAAUAAAAUAUUGAAUAGCUCAUGUAAUUUAUUGAAAACUAUACUAAAAGUGAAAAACAGAAUGGUUGCAUGGGUACCUGAAAUAUGGUUUCUACCAAAUGUGUAUUGCCUUUGCAACCAUCUUAAGUCAAACCAUCAUAAGCUGGGAACUGUCUGUAUUUAGAAAAAAGCAAAGAUGGAGAGGUAUUCCUAACCCCCUGGGUUCCUAAUUUCUCACAGAUUUCUCAUUUCAGCACUAGCUGAGGUCUGGCUAUCAGCCUGUCACAGAGUUAGGAGUAUGUCAUCACAGUGAUUUUUCUUUCCCCUCCUCCAGCCUAUUUGAAGGAGGCCCUGUUAUGUGUUACCAAUAGGGUCUUUACUAAGCAAUGUCUAGUUUUUUUCCUUGAAAAACUUGAAAUGUGAAUGGCUCUCUCAACAUGCUUCUCUUUGUAACAGCCACAUUGUGAAUAUUAAUGGCAGUACUUAAGCAGGUCGAUUGUGCACUGAGAAUAUGAAAUAUGCAUGUCACUUAAAAACAAAUGAUUGUCCAUACAGUGCUUGGGCUGAAUUAUUCUCCCUCAGGUUGUCACACCUGAUGCAGAGGGAAGCUAAGGCAAUGCAUCUGUGCCAGACUUUAUAGAUCCCAAGGUCAGGAUCAAAAUGUGCAGAUUCAGGAAGAUGCUUUUUCACUAAUGAUUUGUUACCGUUAACUUGACGCACUGGGUGGAUUUAUAUAGAGAAAAAUGUUAAUAAAAUGUUCUUCGAGCUACAUUUCUGCUUUGCUGAGUUGUCAUUCCAUUAAGCAAAUUUGAGGCAAUGUAAUUGCUAUAAGAUUCUACAUAUUUGCAAAUGAAUUUGUGAGUUUAUUUGGGAAAUGAAUGGGUUUUAACUUGGCUUGUUGGACUAAUUUUAUUUUGCUGUUUCCAGGAGAUGUCCUAGCGAG
rnacentral:lncRNA from 10 species